rnacentral:rRNA from 1 species
GUGUCAGCCGCCGCGGUAAUACGAGGGGGGCGGGCGUUGUUCGGAAUUAUUGGGCGUAAAGGGUGCGUAGGCGGUUUGGUAAGUCUUGUGUGAAAUCUUCGGGCUCAACUCGAAGUCUGCACGAGAAACUGCCGGGCUCGAGUAUGGGAGAGGUGAGUGGAAUUUCCGGUGUAGCGGUGAAAUGCGUAGAUAUCGGAAGGAACACCUGUGGCGAAAGCGGCUCACUGGACCAUAACUGACGCUGAUGCACGAAAGCUAGGGGAGCAAACAGGAUUAGAUACCCCCGUAGUCC